UUUUUGUUAAGUGUAUGUACACAUGGUCUUGGUAAUACAAGUUAAAGGCUGGUGUUUUUUUCCCCCUGGAGUCACUGAUUCAAGUGUUUAAAGUAUUCUGCUCAUGAAUAUAAUGCCACUAACGGCUUUUGUUUCAAUUACCGUGAAGGAGCAGAAGGGAUUUUAAUGUCUGAAGCAGGAGAGAAAUGAGUCAGCAGAUUAUUCUGGCGAUGGAAGACAGACACCGUACAGCAAGAGCAAACCUCAGAGCAGGCAGACCAAUGCUGGAGUGAGGGUUAUCCAGCAGGUUCUUCACCUUAUGUUCUGAUUUGCCUCCCCCGGUCUACCAGCAGCAGCCAGUGGAGAAAGGUUUUUGGUCGCAUGUAAGUACCUGAAAUUCCACCUGGAAGGACAAUCUCUCAGAAUACAGGAGUGCUGUAGAACUGCCCAUCCAAUUCUUGGAAAAGACUAUCUGCAGAGAGACCUCCCUCUUGGGGAAACCAGUGAUGUCUCCAAAUGUGUCUCCUACACAGCAACCCUGUAUUGGAAUCUCACAGAUUUCAUCUCAAAACACCGCCCUUCCCCCCCUCUCUCAUUGACAUUACAACACAAUGCAGGGCCAGAAUCAUCCUGGAGAAAAUCAUUGACUUCACUGGAGAUCCACCAAAGAU